CGGGUCCUGAAUCAAGGCUGGCAGUUUGUAGUAGCUGUCAGUUUCAAACAGGAGCCUAAAACAACUUCUCCCUGUGUGUCUGUUGUAUGUUUCUUCACUUGGCAUGGAACACUCAACUCACUUGGAAGACACAUGU
ensembl:snoRNA